rnacentral:rRNA from 1 species
GACGAACGCUGGCGGCGCGCCUAACACAUGCAAGUCGAACGAGAGAUGAGGAGCUUGCUCUUCAAAUCGAGUGGCGAACGGGUGAGUAACGCGUGAGGAACCUGCCUCAAAGAGGGGGACAACAGUUGGAAACGACUGCUAAUACCGCAUAAGCCCACAGCUCGGCAUCGAGCAGGGGGAAAAGGAGUGAUCCGCUUUGAGAUGGCCUCGCGUCCGAUUAGCUGGUUGGUGAGGUAACGGCCCACCAAGGCGACGAUCGGUAGCCGGACUGAGAGGUUGAACGGCCACAUUGGGACUGAGACACGGCCCAGACUCCUACGGGAGGCAGCAGUGGGGAAUAUUGCACAAUGGGGGAAACCCUGAUGCAGCGACGCCGCGUGGAGGAAGAAGGUCUUCGGAUUGUAAACUCCUGUUGUUGAGGAAGAUAAUGACGGUACUCAACAAGGAAGUGACGGCUAACUACGUG